rnacentral:rRNA from 1 species
UACGUAGGGUGCGAGCGUUAAUCGGAAUUACUGGGCGUAAAGCGUGCGCAGGCGGCGCGUUAAGACAGGUGUGAAAGCCCCGAGCUUAACUUGGGAAUUGCGCUUGUGACUGGCGUGCUGGAGUGUGGCAGAGGAAGGUGGAAUUCCACGUGUAGCGGUGAAAUGCGUAGAUAUCUGGAGGAACACCGGUGGCGAAGGCGGCGUUCUGGACUGCAACUGACACUGAGAAACGAAAGCCAGGGUAGCAAACGGG